UCCUCUUUAAACACAUCCACACCGUUUCAUUAAAAAACAAUUGAAAAUGCACUGUUUGAUUUUACAACACAAAGCCAAAACAGGUUGUUUUAUUAAUGAAAAAGAAUCACAACAAUAAUGCACACGACACCGUUUGUGUCAAAUUAUUUGAAAAAAGAAGGUCGUCUUCUUCGCCUCGCACACCGCUUCAAUUAGACACUUCCUCAAUACUUGAAAUUUGCAAAACAAUGAUAGGCUCAGGCAAAACACCUCUGCCUCUCCCCAAAGUGAGCCUGCACGCGAGCUAACAAGCAGAAACAAAACAGAAGACAAUUCUCUCGAGCAAAACAAGAACGUCUUUCGGGCAUUUACUCGAGCAGUUGGUGGGCACCAGAGCAGAGGGGCAAAUCUGAUACCUCCAAGGCUUUUCUGGGCGAAGGGAGGUGCAGCUGCACCUCCUUGCGCCUCUGUGGGUCCGCCACUGCCUGCAGGACAAGCUGAAAGAAGUGGAGUGUUUCUAUCAUUCAAUAAUGUCUGAAAACGGUCUAAUGCUUCUUUCUGCGUUUGAUUGUGGCCAAAGAUAACCAAGGCCUGCAAGAUUUCUGCUCUCAGAAGUGCACUGAAAUGAUCCUCUCCAGGUAUUGAUUCCCAACCCAGUUUUCUGCAUGAAAAAAUUCAGAUAUGACAUCUAAGUAUGGUAGCAUCAAAGUUUUGUUUGGUGAUCCUAAAUGAAGUAUCAGCCACAUAAACCGGAACAUUACUGCAAGCAUGACCUCAAAGAGGCUGGAAUACAUCAUAAGGACAAACACUGUUCAUUUUAGCAUGUAUAUAACCCGAUAAGCUUAACAAAGAAGGUAUUGCCAUAUUAAAACUGUA